rnacentral:rRNA from 1 species
UACAGAGGUCUCAAGCGUUGUUCGGAUUCAUUGGGCGUAAAGGGUGCGUAGGCGGCGCGGUAAGUCGGGUGUGAAAUCUUGGAGCUUAACUCCGAAACUGCAUUCGAUACUGCCGUGCUUGAGGACUGGAGAGGAGACUGGAAUUUACGGUGUAGCGGUGAAAAUGCGUAGAUAUCGUAAGGAAGACCAGUGGCGAAGGCGGGGUCUCUGGACAGUUUCCUGACACUGAGGCACGAAAGGGCCCAGGGGGGAGCAAAAACGGGGGAUUUAGAAA